UGGCUAGCACGCCCUAGAGAUUGAGAACUCCUCCCUUGCUUAUCGCUCGCCGGGAUUUCCAACAUAUGAAAGAUUAAGCCAUUUAACCUCCAGCAGUGCCCAGGAAAAUGUUAGAGAUCGGAAAGAACUGUUAUUGGAUAGCCCCAUUUUACUUCUAAUUUGCCAAUUGUCAAUGGUGAAGUUUGGCAUCGUAUAUCAUUGAAAGAAUUUUUAUACCGAGUAGCAUCUUGAGGAUGAUUGGGGAUAGUAAUCUCUACGCAUGUAAUCAAGGCUUGUACUCCUAGCUAUGAAUGGGACAAAAUUGCCACAUCUAUCUUGCAUGUUACAGUCUACUAACGGGCACCAACCUCUAGGCUGUUCUCAAAAUCUGCGGUUCUGUUAUGAAUUGGCAAGGCAUCGUUGUUAAAAACAUUUCCGACAACGUGCAUCUACAUGUUCUCGAAGUACAUUUUUCCCGUUAUACAAGUCUCUUUUUCGCGUUGUAGUACACGAUUAAUUUGAAACAGUUAAGGGGUAUAAUUCUGAGCUUCUUUGCAUAUUUUCAAGGACAUUAGUGAAUGGACAAGCAAAGUAAAACGGACACGAGAUCUCUGGAUAAACUAUCUAUGCACUUGCCAUGCCCGCAUCUUCUCUCGACAGUU
rnacentral:misc_RNA from 1 species